UACGGGGGGAGCAAGCGUUGUUCGGAUUUACUGGGCGUAAAGGGCGCGUAGGCGGCGUGACAAGUCACUUGUGAAAACUCGGGGCUUAACUCCGAGCCUGCUUCUGAUACGGGCAGACUAGAGGUAUGCAGGGGAGAAUGGAAUUCCUGGUGUAGCGGUGAAAUGCGCAGAUAUCAGGAGGAACACCGGUGGCGAAGGCGGUUCUCUGGGCAUGACCUGACGCUGAGGAGCGAAAGUGUGGGGAGCGAACAGG
rnacentral:rRNA from 1 species